rnacentral:rRNA from 1 species
AUUGAACGCUGGCGGCAUGCCUUACACAUGCAAGUCGAACGGCAGCGGGCCUUCGGGUGCCGGCGAGUGGCGAACGGGUGAGUAAUGCAUCGGAACGUGCCAUUGAGUGGGGGAUAACGUAGCGAAAGUUACGCUAAUACCGCAUAUUCUGUGAGCAGGAAAGCAGGGGACCGCAAGGCCUUGCGCUCUUUGAGCGGCCGAUGUCAGAUUAGCUAGUUGGUGAGGUAAAGGGCUUACCAAGGCGACGAUCUGUAGCGGGUCUGAGAGGAUGAUCUGCCACACUGGAACUGAGACACGGUCCAGACUCCUACGGAGGCAGCAGUGGGGAAUUUUGGGACAAUGGGCGCAAGCCUGAUCCAGCCAUGCCGCGUGAGUGAAGAAGGCCUCGG